AGAACUGCUCCAUUACCCACAAGGUGUUUACACCCACAGAACUGCUCCUUUCAUCCACAGAACUGCUCCUUCACCAACAAGUUGUUUACACCCACAGAACUGCUCCUUCAUCCACAAGGUGUUUACACCCACAGAACUGCUCCUUCACCCACAGAACUGCUCCUUCAUCCACAGAACUGCUCCUUCACCCACAGAACUGCUCCUUCACCCACAGAACUGCUCCUUCAUCCACAGAACUGCUCCUUCACCCACAGAACUGCUCCUUCACCAACAAGGUGUUUACACCCACAGAACUGCUCCUUCAUCCACAGAACUGCUCCAUCACCCACAA
ensembl:lncRNA